rnacentral:lncRNA from 1 species
CCAGACCCUCACUGCUGAGGAGGAGUUGCCAUUAUCAUCCCUGAUAUGGAGGCGGGGAACCCGAAACGCCAAGAACAGUGUGUGCUUAGGAAGCCACAGAGCUGGAAGUAGAGCCCCAGCAGCCUGAUCCAGAGCCCUCGCUCUUCACCACCACCCUACCCUGCUCCAGGGAGCACAGUGGGGGUCCUGAAGCCUCUUUCCAUCUGUUGGGUCUUGGUGACAGGCCAGGUGCAAGCAGUUUUCCAAAGCAGGCUGAUCAGAGAAGGCCUCCAAUUAUGUGUGUAGGAGGGGAAGUAGCCUCGCACAGACGUGACCCUGUGCCACCACAAAAGCAGGGACACUGACGCUGGGUCCUGGGUCUUCUGAGAGCCACCACUCGCUGACUGCAGGCACGGUUACCCUCCACCCCCAGCCUAGCCUCCCAUUCCCUGCUCUGGCAGAGCUUGUGUGCUAGAAUGAGCUUCCAAAAAUCCCUCCACUCAGUUUGUUCCUUUGUUCAUUCCUUUGUCCAUUUAACAAACAUUUACUGAGCACCUACACUAUGGUAGACUCUGUGUUCAGAAUAAUAAAAAGAUGAAUAAGAUGAUGGCUCAGGCUUCAAGCAGCUUAUGGUGCCAUAGGGGAAGACAAAUAAGAAAUGAUAGAAUUUGCUAGAAUUUGCUGAGCAUCUACCUAGAUGCAGGAAAGCAAGUUCGUUAAUACGGCAAUUUGAUCCAAACACCAACAGGUCUCUUGCCCUCCAAACUGAACAGCUCCUGAUGGUGAGGAAUGCUUCACUUAGUUGAACAUGAGUAUGUCUUAGUCUUGUUUGAGUCUUGGUAAUUUUCAAACACCAUGGGAGUACUUUUACCACCCUUUAUGCAUCUUUAAGCAUUUUAUCUGUUUUUCUAACUUAUUUUCUCCAAAUCAUAUAUCGCCACAAGCUAUCAGUAUUGGAGUACAGCACCAGAAAUCGAAGUAAAAGAAGAUGAAGGAAUUGAAAUGAGAUUCCCCCAGGUGGGAACACACGCUGUGGAAAGGCUAAUUCCAACAAAGCUGGAGAAUAAUGCACCCCCAAGUCUGCGCUAACACUGAGGCACUCAGCAAAGUCACGGGCCUUGUCCGUGCGAUUCAUCGAGGUAUCUUGGAACCUAGAACAAUGCCUGGCAUGCACAAGUGAUCAACAAAUGUUGAAUGAAUAAAUAUUGGAUGGGGAUUAAAAAAAAAAUAACAACUAGAGACAAUGCUUUACUGGUUUAAAAACCGAACAGAUUUUGUCAGGAAACAAGGAAAGAAAUCCAUAUUAACUGAGUGCUUACUGUGGUCCAGGCAUAGGGCUAAGUGAUUUAGUUCUAAGUCAUGAAAUCCUCACAACAAGGAGGUGAAGUAUUGUCAUUCUCACCUAACAGAGGACACUGAGGCUCAGGGAGCUUAUGUAGCUUGCUUGCUUAGGGUUACCAAAUGUAAGAGCUAUAAGAAGAAAGGUGAAGGACACCCCUGGCUAAGAGCGUCCACUUUCCUGCGGGCUUGCGUAUGGCAUAAUGCCUCCUAAUUCAGGAAAAGCUAAUCGUGGCCAAACGUUACUCCAGAAGGAAUUUUAAAAAUUGUUAAUGUGUAACUAUUCAAAAUGCUUUCCUUUUAUAGAUUUAUAGAAGAAUAGCUUCAGGGCUGAAGCAGUGAUAUCCAGUAACAUUGAAUAUGAAGGAGCUCUGUGAAGGCUAAUUUACAGAAUCAUGACUGUGCUUUCGUUACUCUUCAUGUAUCUUUAGGCAUUUUCCUGUGUUUCCAAAUGAAACCCUGCUCCUCCUGUUCCUCCUCCUCCUCCUGUUCCUCCUUCUCACCAGUUACUUAGGAAGGGCUCAUGCAAUGGAAUCGGAGGCCCACCGGUCAUUUGCAAAUCUUCAUGGCAGUGGGCUCAAGUCAGUGGUGAGAGAGCCAUGGGCUCUGAUUUGAAGAUGACCAAAGCUCAAGAAGCCUACAUUCCUCAACCUGAGUCCUAACUGAAGCUAAAGCCAGGGGACCCCCCGCCCACAGCCACAAGACCAUCCACCACCCAGAGUUCCUGUAGCUGAAUAAAAUAUCAAUCCUUUAGGAAAUAAGGAGAAAUACAGCACCUGCUUGGAAGAAACUGGAGAAGACAAGAA